UCGAUUUGGAGUUUGUUGCCCUGAGUGAUGGGCUCCGAAGCUAACGCGAUAAAUCGACCGCCUGGGGAGUACGGCCGCAAGGUUAAAACUCAAAUGAAUUGACGGGGGCCCGCACAAGCGGUGGAGCAUGUGGUUUAAUUCGAUGCAACGCGAAGAACCUUACCUGGUCUUGACAUCCACAGAAUCUUGCAGAGAUGCGAGAGUGCCUUCGGGAACUGUGAGACAGGUGCUGCAUGGCUGUCGUCAGCUCGUGUUGUGAAAUGUUGGGUUAAGUCCCGCAACGAGCGCAACCCUUAUCCUUUGUUGCCAUUGGUUCGGCCGGGAACUCAAAGGAGACUGCCGUUGAUAAAGCGGAGGAAGGUGGGGACGACGUCAAGUCAUCAUGGCCCUUACGACCAGGGCUACACACGUGCUACAAUGGCGUAUACAAAGGGAGGCGACCUCGCGAGAGCAAGCGGACCUCACAAAGUACGUCUAAGUCCGGAUUGGAGUCUGCAACUCGACUCCAUGAAGUCGGAAUCGCUAGUAAUCGUGAAUCAGAAUGUCACGGUGAAUACGUUCCCGGGCCU
rnacentral:rRNA from 1 species